CGCGAGGGGAGAUCGGGCGGCCCGGGGCGCCCUGCGACUGCCCGAGGCCGGAGGCCCGAAGGACCCGCCGCCGCCUUUGUGUCACUGGCCCCCGCCCCGCUGGACUGACUGGCCCGGGCCGGGGCGGUUGGGCCGGCGCUGAAGGGGCUUGGCCGCCCGGGUCCACCCGUUCCCGGAUCCGCCUCGCCGGCCCCCGCGCCCGCCCAACCCCUGCCCAACCCCUCGGCUGCGCGAGUUUGGGUGAGAAGUGCGGCGGCUUUUCCCAGGGAUGGAGUUUAGAAGACGCUAAUCCUAUGUGCGAGCGGCGGACCCCGCCCGGACUUCCCGGAGGCGCCCGGUUAGUGAGGCGACGGCGCCCACCCGCGUUCGCGGGCUCCCGGCCGCCACUUCCCGGAGCCGCCGGCCCGCCCUAGCCCCGCGCGUCGCCCCGGAGGGCGGGCUGCACUCCCUCCACGUACCUGGCUGGCAGAGCAUCUCCAGGGACAAAAGGUGCCCUGGGAUCAAAGCCGAGCCCCCGACCCCGCCGGGAUGCUGCCCUCCGGCAGGAAGGGUGCUGCCCCCAAGGUACUCUCCCCGGGCACCCAGGGGGAGGUUCCAUUUCAACCUCCGAUGAAAAACACGGCCCUCCCGUGUACUUAGGAGGGUCUGGGGUAAGUGCCAAGAUGGAGAAAACACGCCGGCCCCUCAGAGUAUCUCCUGAAGAAUGAGAACUAUCUAGUGGGCAAGGAGGGCUUCCUGCAUAGCAGAGGGCACCCCCUCUGAUCCCCCAACGCCAAAGGAAAAAAAUCACUCUUCACCGGCUCGCCUGAGCCAGGACAGGCUCCAGUGCAGCCACCCACCUUACAAUUUUCCGCGGAUGCUGCCUUGAUCAGAUAUCUGAAGAUGACUUUAAGGACUACAAGCAAAUCUCAAGGGAAAAAUUCAGACCUUGAACAAGAGCCUUGAACUUUUUCAGGGUUAAGACAAGUAUUCCCCAGUGGAGUUUCUGCCCUUAUUUCUUCGUUCUUCUCUUAAUUCUUCCAUAUUUUAACAGAACACAGACCUGCCGAAACGACACAGGAUGGCGCUUUGCUUUUUGUUAGUUCUCCAACCUUCCAAACCCUUGGGGCACAUGCAAGCAUUGUGGAAAAACUCCAUUAAACCAAGAGUCAUCUUACUCCAGAUCCCAGACUGCUUGGGAAGUUGGACAUGCGUAUUCCCAAAGAGAAAAGUGUUGGAAGGAGACAGGAGAGCAGCUCGGGGGUUGGGCGUAGAGGGCAGGAAAAGAGGGCAAGAUGGAGGACUACCACUCGAGGCCAGCCUCCACUGCCUGUUAGGGCGGUAGAACCUAAGAGCCGGUCCAAGGCAACACAAAAGAUAGUGAGGCUAGGUCUUUAAUUGCAGCCAACGAUCAAGAAAGCAACUCCAUCAAAUGACACUGUCUUUUUAAAAAUUUAUUUUUUUUUGAGGCAGAGUCUCGCUCUGUCGCCCAGGCUGGAGUGCAGUGGUGCGAUCUUGGCUCACUGCAACCUCUGCCACCCGGGUUCAAGCAGUUCUCCCUGCCUCAGCCUCCUGAGUAGCUGGGAUUACAGGCACGCGCUACCAGGCCCUGCUAAUUUUUUUUUUUUUUUUUGGUAGAGUCGAGGUUUUGCCGUGUUGGCCAGGUUGGUCUCGAAUUCCUGACCUCAGGUGAUCCGCCCACCUCAGCCUCCCAAAGUGCUGGGAUUUCAAGCGUGAGCCACCGCGCCCGACCAAAUGACACUGUCUUAAAUGAUUUAAUGUCUUAAAUCGGGAAAGGAGAGUAAGAGAAAGCACUCAACGGAGUCAGAGGUGUCUUGCAGCCUAGCUCUUUCCACAGACAAGCCACAUGGGCCUAUCAUCUAACCUUUUCAAGCUUCUCCAACUGCUUCUGUGAUGGAGAGAUUUGGGCUAGAGGAUCUUUUUAUUUUAUUUUAUUUUAUUUUGGUGACGGAGUCUCGCAUUGUCACCCAGGCUGAAGUGCAGUGGCGCAAUCUCAGCUCACUGCAACCUCUUUCUCCUGGGUUCACGCGAUUCUCCUGCCUCAGCCUCCCAACUAGAUGGGAUUACAGGCGCACACCACCACACCCGGCUUAUUUUUUGUGUUUUUAGUAAAGACGGGGUUUCACUAUGUUGGCCAGACUGGUCUCGAACUCCUGACCUCGUGAUCCGCCUACUUCGGCCUCCCAAAGUGCUGUGAUUACAGGCAUGAGCCACCGCGCCUGGCCUAUGAUCCCAUUUUUUAAAGUAAUUAGGCUGGGUGCGGUAGCUCACGCCUGUAAUCCCAGCACUCUGGGAGGCCAAGGCGGGUGGAUCACUUGAGGCCAGCAGUUCGAGACCAGCCUGGCCAACGCUGAAACCCUGUGUCUACUAAAAAUACAAAAAUUAGCUCGGCAUAGUGGCACGUACCUGUACUUUCAGCUACUUGGGAGGUUGAGGCAGGAGAACUCGCUUGAACCCGGGAGGCGGAGGUUGCAGUGAGCCAAGAUGGCACCACUGCACUCCAUUCUGGGUGACAGAGUGAGACCCUGUCUCAAAAAUAAUAAUAAUAAAAGUAAUUAUUUAAGGCUGGGAGUGGUGGCUUACGCCUGUAAUCACAGCACUUUGGGAGAGUGAGGCGGGUGGAUCAUGAGGUCAGGAGAUGGAGACCAUCCUGUCUCACGGUGAAACCCUGUCUCUACUAAAAAUACAAAAAAAUUUGCCAGGUGUGGUGGCGGGUGCCUGUAGUCCCAGCUAGUCGGGAGGCUGAGGCAGGAGAAUCGCUUGAACCCAGGAGGCGGAGGUUGCAGUGAGCCGAGAUCACACCACUGCACUCCAGUCUGGGUUUCAGAGCGAGACUCCGUCUCAAAACAAAUAAUUAUUAUUAUUUAAAAUAAUCACUGGGCCUGGCGCAGUGGCUCACACCUGUAAUCCUAGCACUUUGGGAGGCCAAGGCGGGCGGAUCACGAGGUCAGGAGAUUGAGAUCCAGCCUGGCCAACAUGGUGAAACCCCAUCUCUACUAAAAAUAUUUUUUAAAUUAGCUGGGCAUGGUGGCGGGCACCUGUAAUCCCCAGCUCCCUGGGAGACUGAGGCAGGAGAAUCGCUUGAACCUGGGAGUCGAAGGUUGCAGUGAGCCGAGGUCGUGCCACUGCAAUCCACCUGGCCAACAGAGCAAGACUCUGUCUCUAAAAUAAUAAUAAUUAUUAUUCUUGACAGGCCAGUGUAGAACAGGUGGGGCAUCUGUGGUAUGACAGAACUGGGUUCCAGUUCUGUCCCUUCACCUGUCCCAGGUUCCUCAUCUGAAAACUGUGACCCAGUAAACCUAAUUUCAUGAGCAGCUUUCAUUAAAAUUGAAAUAAUGUUGGAAAAUGCCUUGUAACCAUGCUUGAUAUAGAGUAGUUACUUAGCCAGUUAUUUCCUGUCUUCUUCCCAUUCCUAACAAAAUGGAAAAACGUUUGGUUGCUAGGAAAGAGCCCUAAGGGGAUUUUGUUGUUGUUUGAGACAAAGUUUGGCUCUAUCGCCCAGGAUGGAGUGCAAUGGCACAAUCUCUGCUCACUGCAACCUCCGCCAUAGACAGGAGCCAAGCAUAGUGGUGUGCACCUGUCUGUAGUUCCAGCCUCUUAGGAGGCUGAGGCAGGAGGAUUGCUUGAGGCCAGGAGUUUGAGUCUAGCUUGGGCAAUAUAUUGAAACCUUGUCUCUUAAAAAAAAAGAAAAAAAAAAAAGAGGCCAGGUGUAGUGGCUCACUCCUGUAAUCCCAGCACAUUGGGAGGCCGAGGCGGUGCAUCACUUGACCCCAGGAGUUCGAGACCAGCCUGGGCAACAUGCAAACUUCCGUCUUUUAGGCCGGGCGCGGUGGCUCACACUUGUAAUACCACCACUUUGGUAGGCCGAGGCGGGCAGAUCAUGAGGUCAGGUGAUCGAGACCAUCCUGGCUAAGGUGAAACCCAGUCUCUACUAAAAAUAAAAAAUUAGCAGGGUGUCGUGGCUGGUGCCUGUAGUCCCGGCUACUUGGGAGGCUGAGGCAGGAGAAGGGCAUGAACCCAGGAGGUGAAGCUUGCAGUAAGCCGAGAUCGCACCACUGCACUCCAGCCCAGGCAACAGAGCUAGACACCCUCUCAAAAAAAAAAAAAAAAAAUUACGUCUUAAAAAAAAAUACAGGUCCGGGCACGGUGGCUCAUGCCUGUAAUCCCAUCACUUUGGGAGGCCGAGGCGGGCGAAUCACGAGGUCAGGAGAUCGAGAGCAUCCUGGCUAACACAGUGAAACCCCGUCUCUACUAAAAAUACAAAAAAUUAGCCAGGCGUGGCAGGGUGCGCCUGUAGUCCCAGCUGCUGGGGAGGCUGAGGCAGGAGAAUGGUGUGAACCCAGGAGGCAGAGCUUGCAGUGAGCCAAUAUCCCGCUACUGCACUCCAGCCUGGGUGACAGAGCGAGACUCAGUCUCAAAAAAUAAUAAUUAACAACAACAAAAAAUACAAAAGUUAGUUGCGCGUGUUGCCAUAUGCCUGUGGUCCCAGCCACUCUGCAGGCUGAGGUUGGGAGAUCACUUGAGCCCAGAAGGUGGAGGUUGCAGUGAGCUGAGAACCCACCGUUGUACUCCAGCCUGCGUGUCAGUGAGAUUCUGUCUCGAAAAGAAAAAAAAUCUAGCCUAUGCUCCCUAGUAUGGGAAAUCUAGUCUAGUCAUUUGGCAGAAACAGGCUUUGCAGGCCAUAUUGUCUCUGUCGUAACUACCAACUCUGCUAGUUAAAAGGGAAGUAGCCACAAACAAUAUCUGAAUGAUGGAUUAUGGCUGUGUUCCAAUAAAACUUUAUUUGCAAAAACAGGUUGCUGGUUGCAAGGUAGUUUUCCAACCUCUACGUGAUUCUCAGACUUUAGAUUGCAUCAUAAUCACCUGGAGGGCUUGUUCAAACACAGAUUGCUGGGCCCCACCCCCAAAAUUUUUGAUUCAGCAGCUCUGGGGUGGGGCUGAUAUUUGUAUUUCUAACAACUUUCCAGGUGAGGCUGGCUGAUGAUGGUCUGUAAACCACUUUGAAAACCUCUGAAGCUUUUCUCAACUCCCUUCUUUGUGUACCUAAAACACUUUAUCCCUACUGUAGAUGUAGCAUUUAGCGUGUUAUAUUAGUUUAGUGAUUGGUGUGUGGGUCUCUGGGAGCCUUUCUGAAUUACCUUCCUAGCCUAGUGCCUGACAAUAGCAAUUUGCUCCCCAUUCAUUGACUGAACUGAAACCGGAGGGUCAUAGUUAUCAUCAUUGUUCCAAGCCAUAGAUAGAAGAUGAAGUCACCACCCCUGAUCUCAGAGCUCAUCAGAGUAGAGCUUGGGCUGGACCCUGCCCUUCUCUGCAGUGAGCAGUUUUCUCUGUGGAGCUCUGUGCAACCUGGAGCCAGCCCUGCCUGGGGUAAGAGGAAAAAGGACUCCUUCCCCCCAGCCCCACAGCCUGUACGCAAACACACCAGGAGACAUGACCUGCUCAGAGGAGACCUGGAACCAAGGGAAUAAAAUGAGAGUGGGUUGGGGGCUUGGCUGUUUACGUUUGUUAUUUUUUGCUUGUAAGUGGACAAUUUGUGGUGUGGUGUGUGAAUUUGGGGUCUUAAAUCCAGAUAGCUGUCUGCUGUGGACAGCCACUGUUUCUGAAUUACAGGGCAUUUCAAGUGACCUGUGGUCAGGAUGUUUUCUCUCAGAUCAGGCAAAAUCAAUUGGUCCUGAUAACCAGGGGAGUUGUACUUUCCCUGUCUUGAGUAGAAGAAGCCACAGCUCCCGGGUCCACCUGCCUCUCCUGACUGCCCACCUCCUGGCUUUUUUUUUUCUUUUUUUUUUUUUGAGACGGGGUCUUGCUCCGUCGCCUAGGCUGGAGUGCAGUGGUGCGAUCUCAGCUCACUGCAACCUGGGCCUCCCGGGUUCAAGAGAUUCUCCUGCUUCAGCCUAGCGAGGAGCUGGGAUUACAGACGCGCGCCACCUCGCCCAGCUAAUUUUUUCAUAUUUUUAGUAGAGACAGGGUUUCACCGUGUUAGCCAGGAUGCUCUGGAUCUCCUGACCUCGUGAUCCGCCCGCCUCGGCCUCCCAAAGUGCUGGGAUUACAGGUGUGAGCCACCGCGCCCGGCCGGCCUCCUGGCUUUUAUCCUGGGGGCACUGCAAGUAGAGCCAGGCGUGUGGCCCGUGCAUCCUUCCCAGCCUCUUUCCUGCUGGGCGUGGAGGAGGAGGCACUGCCAGGAGCUCCCCACAGACAGGCGCUGCUUACUGAUGGGUUGGCUGCAAACUGUAGGCAUAACAGUUACCUUCCUCUUCACGACCCCCAGGCCUGACGAGGCUUACACAGGAAUUUCUUUGAUUUGUGAAGUCUUAAGACUAUACCGCUGGGCACGGUGGCUCACGCCUGUAAUCCCAGCACUUUGGGAGGCUGAGGCGCGCAGAUCACGAGGUCAGGAGAUCAAGACCAUCCUGGCUAACACGGUGAAACCCCAUCUCUACUAAAAACACAAAAAAUUAGCCGGGCAUGGUGGGGGGGCGCCUGUAGUCCCAGCUACUUGGGAGGCUGAGGCAGGAGAAUGGCACGAACCCAGGAGGCAGAACUUGCAGUAAGCCAAAAUCACACCACUGCACUCCAGCCUGGGCGACAGAGCGAGACUCUGUCUAAAAAAAAAAAAAAAAAAAAAAAAAGACUAUACUAGCUAAUCUUCCAUGCCUCGCUCUUUCCACAUUAAUAGACAAAACCAGGAAAAAGGACUGCUCCCCCUCCCGCUCUUGAUUGGGCUCCAUAAGAACCGCCAAAAGGCCAGGCAGCAUUUGCUACUCUUCUGGGGUUCACUUCUGCAAGGUGCGACCCUGCAACCUAGAGCACAGGGAAGUUAGGACAGCAAAGGAGCCGGGCUGAGCCGAUGCUGGCUUAGAACUCUUUCUGUUACUCCCUGUUCCCGCCAGCUCGUUAGCCCAGCCUGCCAAUCAGUUUUGCAUCAAUAAACUUUAUGUUCUGAGCUUGGCCAGAUGAAUGAGAGGAGAGCAGCUAAAGACUGAUCUCUGACCUUGGCACGUAAACAGCCUCCAGAUUGGACUUGACAGUUAAUAAAGGAAAGGCCCUGCAA
rnacentral:lncRNA from 1 species